rnacentral:rRNA from 1 species
UAUGUGAUCGUCUCUCGCAUAUCAAUAAGCGGAGGAAAAGAAACUAACAAGGAUUCCCCUAGUAACGGCGAGUGAAGCGGGAAGAGCUCAAAUUUGAAAUCUUAAAGGGUUUCCCUUUACGAAUUGUAGUUUAAAGAAGUGUUUUCUGUUGAGGUUUUGGUAAAAGUUCUUUGGAAUAGGACAUCAUAGAGGGUGAGAAUCCCGUAUUUGACCUUUACUUUCAACUUUGUGAUACACUUUCAAAGAGUCGGAUUGUUUGGGAAUGCAGUCCAAAAUGGGUGGUAAAUUUCAUCUAAAGCUAAAUAUUGGCGAGAGACCGAUAGCGAACAAGUACCGUGAGGGAAAGAUGAAAAGAACUUUGAAAAGAGAGUUAAACAGUACGUGAAAUUGUCAAAAGGGAAGCGUUUGACACCAGUGUUGUUUUUCUGAAAAUCAAUUAAAGAACUGUUUAUGCUAAGUUGUUUAGACUUUAUCAGCUAACUGUUUAGUUUUGAGCUUUUCUUUAAUGCACUUUUCAGUUAACAAGUCAACAUCAAUUUCUUUUGCUGUAAAAAAGCUUGAGGAAGGUGGCUUGAGAUUCGUCUUAAGUGUUUAUAGCCUCUUGCCUAUGCAGUCGGAGAGAUUGAGGUCUGCAGCGUAGAUCCUUCGGGGCUAAAUGCAUUUGUGCUAAGUUAUAGCAUUUUAUAGACAACUUGUUGACUAUGAUUUGUCUUGUAGCUUACUCGCCUAUGUUAUUUUACCUACGCUUAGGAUGUUGACUGAUAUGUAGUCGUA